rnacentral:rRNA from 1 species
GAUGAACGCUAGCGGCAGGCUUAAUACAUGCAAGUCGUGGGGCAGCAGGUUUGUAGCAAUACAGUUGCUGGCGACCGGCAAACGGGUGCGGAACACGUACGCAACCUUCCUUUAAGUGAGGGAUAGCCCAGGGAAACUUGGAUUAAUACCUCGUAAUAUUUGAGAGUGGCAUCACUUUCUAAUUAUAGCUCCGGCGCUUAAAGAUGGGCGUGCGACUGAUUAGGUAGUUGGCGGGGUAACGGCCCACCAAGCCUGCGAUCAGUAACUGGUGUGAGAGCACGACCAGUCACACGGGCACUGAGACACGGGCCCGACUCCUACGGGAGGCAGCAGUAAGGAAUAUUGGUCAAUGGACGCAAGUCUGAACCAGCCAUGCCGCGUGGAGGAUGAAGGUCCUCUGGAUUGUAAACUUCUUUUAUCUGGGAAGAAACCCAUAUUUUCUAGUGUGGUUGACGGUACCAGAUGAAUAAGCACCGGCUAACUCCGUGCCAGCCGCCGCAGUAA